UACGGGGGGGGCAAGCGUUGUUCGGAAUUACUGGGCGUAAAGGGCGCGUAGGCGGCCUUCUAAGUCGGACGUGAAAUCCCUCGGCUUAACCGAGGAACUGCGUCCGAGACUGAAAGGCUUGAAUCCGGGAGAGGGAUGUGGAAUUCCAGGUGUAGCGGUGAAAUGCGUAGAUAUCAGGAGGAACACCGGUGGCGAAGGCGCUCAUCUGGCCCAAUACUGACGCUGAGGCGCGAAAGCUAGGGGAGCAAACGGG
rnacentral:rRNA from 1 species